CAAGCAUCGGUGCCCACCGAUCCAACCGAACACGAACCGGUCAGCUGCGCCAGUCCUCACUCAGCUCACUCUGCUCUCAGCUCAGCUCCCUCUGCUCCCUUCUCUCGAACUCUCCACACCCUUGACCCUCGUCAGAUCCAGCGAGCCGGAGGAGAACUCCAGGCCGAACUCCCACACCCUCAGAUGUCGGCCACGGUAAACGGCGGCGCGGGGGCGGAGUAGGCAGCAGCCCGCGUCUUCCUUCCCAUGGAGACGAGACCGGCGCAGCUGUCGGCGAGGCCGACGGACAUGAAGAGGGCGGUGCGCGAGCGGAUGAGGCAGCAGCAGCCGGGGCUUCCCACAUGAAGACGAAGCCGGAGGAGCUACCGCGGCGCUGACGGACGGGAGGGGGAGGGAGCCGUGGAGCAGAGGAGGCAGCAGCCGCGCCUUCCCCCAUGGGAACGAGGCCGGAGGAGCUCUUGGCGAUUGAUGUACCAAUUGCUGCGCGCAGGCGUACAAUAUGCGCGUUCAAGAUGAACAAGCUUACCCGACAUCUGAGGUUUGAACAUCGGAACUUUCCCCCCUGUUGAACCAGUUUCACAUUCACAUGCAUUUCAUUUUUGGCAUUUUUUUAUUGUAAGUAUUCAGGUCCCAUGGAGAAUUAUUAUAGAUAUAAAUGACCUCAAUAUUUUAUUGU